GCUUUUGGCAUCUGGCAUUGAGGUUCCUGCAUGAAAACAGUGGCCAGCGGGUGCCUGGAUCUACAACACCACCUCUGCAGUCACAGUGAAGUCUGCC
ensembl:miRNA Gm25595 predicted gene, 25595